rnacentral:lncRNA from 1 species
CCUUGCCGGCUCGACUAGAGUAACUCGCCACAGGGUUUCUGGAAUUCCAGGAAGUGCGCGCACCAUAAACAAGUAUAUCAAGUCAAUUGCAACAAUAAACAAGUAUAUCACGUAAGGGCAAGUGCGAUAAAGUACACUCUUGCCCUUACAAUUCACGUAUAUAACAUGUAAUCAGAUUGGUCACGUAUCAAGUUCAAGUAUCAAGUUCAAUUCGGUAUUUGAAAGCACUCACC